AACGAACGCUGGCGGCAGGCUUAACACAUGCAAGUCGAGCGCCCCGCAAGGGGAGCGGCAGACGGGUGAGUAACACGUGGGAAUCUACCCAUCCCUACGGAACAACUCCGGGAAACUGGAGCUAAUACCGUAUACGCCCUUUGGGGGAAAGGUUUAUCGGGGAUGGAUGAGCCCGCGUUGGAUUAGCUAGUUGGUGGGGUAAAGGCCUACCAAGGCGACGAUCCAUAGCUGGUCUGAGAGGAUGAUCAGACACAUUGGGACUGAGACACGGCCCAAACUCCUACGGGAGGCAGCAGUGGGGAAUAUUGGACAAUGGGCGCAAGCCUGAUCCAGCCAUGCCGCGUGAAUGAUGAAGGCCUUAGGGUUGUAAAGUUCUUUCACCGAUGAAGAUAAUGACGGUAGUCGGAGAAGAAGCCCCGGCUAACUUCGUGCCAGCAGCCGCGGUAA
rnacentral:rRNA from 1 species